rnacentral:hammerhead_ribozyme from 1 species
GCACUGCUGAGGAGUCCCACAAUUGGCCGAAACGGCCGUCCAGUGC